UGGCUCAGGAUGAACGCUGGCGGUAUGCUUAACACAUGCAAGUCGAACGGGCUCCUUAGGGAGCUAGUGGCGGACGGGUGAGUAACGCGUGAGAAUCUAGCUUCAGGUUCGGGACAACAUUGGGAAACCGAUGCUAAUACCGGAUGUGCCGAGAGGUGAAAGCUUUAGCGCCUGAAGAUGAGCUCGCGUCUGAUUAGCUAGUUGGUGGGGUAAGAGCCUACCAAGGCGACGAUCAGUAGCUGGUCUGAGAGGAUGAUCAGCCACACUGGGACUGAGACACGGCCCAGACUCCUACGGGAGGCAGCAGUGGGGAAUUUUCCGCAAUGGGCGAAAGCCUGACGGAGCAAUACCGCGUGAGGGAGGAAGGGCCCUUGGGGUUGUAAACCUCUUUUGAUCAGGGAAGAAGGGACUGACGGGUACUGAUCGAAAUCAGCAUCGGGCUAAACUCCGUGCCAGCCGCCGCAGUAAG
rnacentral:rRNA from 1 species